AUGGCUGCCGGUCCAACUUUCCACAGUAUGCUUCCAUACUCCACGUCAAAGUCGACGCAUCUCAUCUCAUCACCGACUGAAUAUAAGUCACUAGCCGCCCAACUUGCUCAUCCGUAUGUAGUCCGUAUCGAUGAAAUCUCUAAAAGGGCUUAUAUUCAAAAACAGAGGGAGUAUAUCAUGGUGUCCACCUAUAAUGGAAACAAAAAUUACCCGUCAAAAACAAAUCAAAUUUUUUCAAGCCAAAUGGUUAACGUAGUUGGAGUUAUCACUGGCAAGCAAAGGGUCGGCACAAGGAGCUGCUGUCGUGUCCAACGCCGGCGUAAAACAGCAUGCAUCAUUGAUUGA
rnacentral:rRNA from 1 species